ACGAGAUCGUCGUUUUUGUAGUGAUCGAAGAAGCAUUAUAGCCAGACAGUCAGUCUGCAAUCGCUAUCUGAACGCGAAUGGUAUCAGUUAACAAUUCUUCACGACUUCCUAUAUUGUUUCCUAAUUCCUAUAUUGUUUCCUAUAUUGUUUCUCUUUUCGCGGCGAUUACUGAUUGACUACGGUACUUUCAAAGAUUCGAAACAGGAAGGCGAAUUUAAAAUAGGACUUGUUUGUUUGCAGCCGAGAGAUAUGGCUCAAGUGUAUACAGGUGCAUUAGUCGUGGUGGAUGUACUCCUGACGCUCUUGAAAAUUCUUUAUUGUAUUGGUGAAGCUAUAUAUAAAUUGUUCGUACCUACGAAAGAGAAAGACGUCACAGGUGAAAUUGUUUUGAUAACUGGGACUGGUCAUGGAAUUGGAAAGGAACUUGCUCUCAAAUAUGCCUCUUUGGGAGCUACAGUGGUGUGUUGGGACCUGAAUCAAGAAAUGAAUCAAGAAACAGUAGCAGAAAUUAAAAAAAUGGGUGGAACAUCUGCUUACGCUUACAAAUGCGACGUCACGGAUAGAGAAGAAGUAUUAAGAGUUGCCGAAAGGGUUAAAGAAGAAGUAGGAAACGUUACAAUACUAAUUAACAAUGCCGGUAUAAUGCCUUGCCACUCAUUUUUGGAUUACACACCAGAAGAAAUUAGAAAAAUAUUUGACGUCAAUGUCUUGGCUCACUUUUGGGUAUUGCAGGCCUUCUUACCAAACAUGAUCACAAAAAAUCAUGGUCACAUAGUGGCACUUUCUUCAAUGGCUGGAAUAGUUGGACUGACUAAUUUGGUACCGUAUUGUGCAUCGAAAUUUGCAGUUCGAGGUUUCAUGGAAGCCCUCAGCGAAGAACUUCGAGAAUACUCUAAGGGAAAGAACUUGAAUAUAAACUUUACGACUAUUUAUCCGUACAUGGUGGAUACUGGUCUCUGUAAGAAGCCUAAGAUAAAAUUGGAUUGUUGGACUCAGGGUGGUUCACGAACAUCUUGGCGAUGCUUUCACCGAAAAAGACUGUUGAUCUAAUAGUAAGAGCACAAAGAAAGAAUUAUUCAAACAUAUCCAUCCCUAGAGCCUUGCUCCCAUUAAACACAAUGUUUAGAAAUUUGCCUGAAAAAUCAUUAAAUCAUAUAACAGAUUUCAUUGAUAGUGGCAUAGAAGUAUCGAAUUAAUGGAAUGUUGAUAAUUAUAAUGAAUUUUUCCUACGAUAAAAUUAUUCAUUAUGUUAGUAAAUUAUAUAUAUUAUUGUAUAUCAUACAUGUUUGUAUCAAUCGAAUAAUUUUUAAUGUUGUAAUCGACAUUAUGUGAAAAAAUUUAUGUAUUAUUAACUGUUAAUCUAAAAAUUUGACAAAUGCGAGAGAUU